rnacentral:tRNA from 1 species
UGGCUCAACAGUUGAGAGCACUGGCCGUUCUUCCAGAGGUCCUGGGUUCAAUUCCCAG